CCACAGUGUUCCAAAUCACACAGAGGCUUGGAGGUCUACAGGCCACAUCAGCCUGAACUACUUUCAUAUGUUCCUUCGGUGAAGAUUGAACUACUUUUCCUGCUCCUCUCACCUGAAACUUUCAUGUCAAGAUUUCAAAGCAUUCCCUCCAACAUGCUCCAUACCACUUGGCACAGCACCUUUAAAAAAAAAAGCACAUCUUGUUCCUUUGCUAGAUUGUGAGCUCUUACAGGGAACAAAACAGUGUCACGUGUGUCUUUAUAUUUCUUGUGUCCAGUAAACGCUGGUACGUAGUAACAGGUUUAUAAAUACUAGUGAAAACUGAAGGAAUGAAUGUACCUUAAGAACACACCUAGGACUGGAGGCAUCCAGUAGAUUCAACAUGUCCUUAGAGGGCCUUGUUGUUCUUCUGAGUAUUGUUCUGUACCUGGCACAGCAGUGGGCACAGUGAUACAGGCUGAUUUGCAUUUGACCGACACUUUGUGGAAUCUGUGAGCAAACGUGGAGUCCAACAUGUGGUGCCCUUCCGGAUCCCAGAAAGCAGGAAAAGGGAGCUACUCUCUGAAAAUUAAACUAAGAAAUGAACACCUAACGGAUGAAAGCCAAGAGAGGCGAUGUGAUCUUAAGAGACAUGAUGACUCCUUGGGCAGUAAGAUUUGACCAUCACCUCACUGAGGGUAUCGACACCUUAAAAACACAUAAAUAUAAAUUCUACCUUAGAGGAGGAUUUCCUCCGUCUCCAAAACAGAGCAAAAGGAAAGCUGUUAAUGUAAUUGUCGUGAGAUCUCGCGGAGCACUGCCUGACCGUAGGACCUGCCCGGUCGCGGCCGGCAUCCCAGCUGCCCUGGCAGGCGGACAGCCCCGUUGCAGGGAGCUGCUGAGCCAGCCCCAUGCUGUUUUGCACCGGAAUCCUGUGCCAUGCACUCCACUUGCCCCGCUCCCGUGCUCACCACCAUGCUUCCCUCUGGUAAUCGGCCUUCCCCAAGAGGGAAUUCACUGUCAGGCUGAUACAGACUGAUGACGUUCAGUGUGCCCGAUUCUUCUGUUGUUCACUGUAAAUAAUAAAGUUGCUUUCUUGUUUUGUUUUUU